rnacentral:rRNA from 1 species
AGAUUUGAUCCUUGGCUUCAGANCGAACGUUUGCCGCCUUGNAUUUAGGCAUCCAAAUUCGACGGAAUUCUAAUUUUUCAAUUCUUCGAAGAGAAUUUUAGAUGAGACGGCGAACGGGUGAGUAAUAAAAUGGGUAAUUGCCUCUUUGUUCGGAAUAGCCCGAGGAAACUCGGAUUAAUGCCGGAUGUGUUCAGGUGCUUCAUGGCACCUUAUAUAAAGGCGGGGAUUCUUCGGAACCUGUCGCAAAGAGAUAAGCCCAUUUCCUAUCAGCUUGUUGGUGAGGUAACGGCUCACCAAGGCUUACGGGUACCGGGUCUGAGAGGAUGAUCCGGCACACUGGGAUUCAGACACUGCCCAGACUCCUACGGGAGGCUGCAGUCGAGAAUCAUUGUCAAUGCACGAAAGUGUGAACAUGCGACGCCGCGUGGAGGAAGACGGCCUUUGGGUUGUAAACUCCUGUCAGCAGGGAGUAAGGAUGGAGAACCUAAUACGUUGUUCAUUUGAUAGUACCUGCAGAGGAAGUCACGGCUAACUCUGUGCCAGCAGCCGCGGUAAUACAGAGGUGGCGAACGUUGUUCGGAUUUACUGGGCGUAAAGGUCCGCAGGCGGUUUGGUGUGUCAGAUGUGAAAGCUUACAGCUCAACUGUGGAAUUGCAUU